GUGCUCGCUUCGGCAGCACAUAUACUAAAAUUGGAACGGUACAGAGAAGAUUAGCAUGGCCCCUGUGCAAGGAUGACAUGCAAAUUCGUGAAGUGUUCCAUAUUUUU
ensembl:snRNA U6 U6 spliceosomal RNA